GAUCAUGGCUCAGGAUGAACGCUAGCUACAGGCUUAACACAUGCAAGUCGAGGGGCAGCAUGGUCUUAGCUUGCUAAGGCUGAUGGCGACCGGCGCACGGGUGAGUAACACGUAUCCAACCUGCCGUCUACUCUUGGCCAGCCUUCUGAAAGGAAGAUUAAUACAAGAUGGCAUCAUGAGUCCGCAUGUUCACAUGAUUAAAGGUAUUCCGGUGGACGA
rnacentral:rRNA from 1 species